AUUGAACGCUGGCGGCAUGCCUUACACAUGCAAGUCGAACGGUAACAGGUCUUCGGGUGCUGACGAGUGGCGAACGGGUGAGUAAUACAUCGGAACGUGCCUAGUAGUGGGGGAUAACUACUCGAAAGAGUGGCUAAUACCGCAUGAGAUCUACGGAUGAAAGCAGGGGAUCGCAAGACCUUGUGCUACUAGAGCGGCCGAUGGCAGAGGAGGUAGUUGGUGGGAUAAAAGCUUACCAAGCCGACGAUCUGUAGCUGGUCUGAGAGGACGAUCAGACACACUGGGACUGAAACACGGCCCUGACUCCUACGGGAGGCAGCAGUGGGGAAUUUUGGACAAUGGGCGUAAGCCUGAUCCAGCAAUGCCGCGUGCAGGAUGAAGGCCUUCGGGUUGUAAACUGCUUUUGUACGGAACGAAAAGCCCUGGGUUAAUACCCUGGGGUCAUGACGGUACCGUAAGAAUAAGCACCGGCUAACUACGUGCCAGCCGCCGCCGUAAGAC
rnacentral:rRNA from 1 species